rnacentral:rRNA from 1 species
UUAGAGGAAGUAAAAGUCGUAACAAGGUUUCCGUAGGUGAACCUGCGGAAGGAUCAUUACCGAACUGUCGACACGAGCUGUUGCUGGCCCCCGAAAGGGGACACGUGCACGCUCUGUUUACACAUCCACUCACACCUGUGCACCCUCUGUAGUUCUAUGGCCUUGGGGACCCUGUCCCCUUGCUGUGGUCCUACGUCUUUACACACACACAUCGUAACAAAGUCUCAUGGAAUGUAUGUCGCGUUUAACGCAAUACAAUACAACUUUCAGCAACGGAUCUCUUGGCUCUCGCAUCGAUGAAGAACGCAGCGAAAUGCGAUAAGUAAUGUGAAUUGCAGAAUUCAGUGAAUCAUCGAAUCUUUGAACGCACCUUGCGCCCUUUGGCUAUUCUGAAGGGCAUGCCUGUUUGAGUAUCAUGAACACCUCAACUCUCAUGGUCCGCCAUGAUGAGCUUGGACUUUGGGGGUCUUGCCGGCCUAGCGUCGGCUCCUCUCAAAUGGAUCAGCUUCCCAGUGUUUGGUGGCGUCACAGGUGUGAUAACUAUCUACGCUUGUGGUUUCCUGCCAUUAACCUUCAGCAAUGGAGGUUCGCUGGAGCUCACAGAUGUCUCUCCUUGGGGAGGACAGCUUUUGAAUGUCUGAUCUCAAAUCAGGUAGGACUACCCGCUGAACUUAAGCAUAUCA